rnacentral:sRNA from 1 species
AAAACAAAGAGUAUUCUGGGAAAACUGAAGUGUUUGGCUUGGUAGUGUCGUCCAUAUUUAGUGCUGCGCCAUCGCCUUACAACAGAAGUGUUGAUUCCGUCGACUUGAAAUCAACUUACGAAUCAACAUUAAAACAAAUUUGCUUGACAGCUACUGUGCAUGUUGAUAUUUAUGUUGAUCAUUGUGUCAUUUUGUUCAGAGUUUAGUUUUAUUUUUUUUAAGUUUAUUUUUUUUUAUUCUUUGGACAAGAGGUUUACACUUUGUUUGUCAUUUCACAUCGCGCUCAGGAAGCUAGUUAGUAUUGUCGCUUCGUGUCAAACAUUAUAUUACCACUAAGCCAGUGUUUCCCAAACUUGGUUUCGAAGAACCCAAGUGUUCUUUGAGGCCCGACUUUGUGUUCCAAAAACUACUGGAAUAAAUAGCUAAUAAGCUUUCAAGUGAAUAUUUCUCGAGUUGCCUGAAGAAGUCGAACAAUGAUGUACUGGUUGAUGCUUAUAGCUGCCUUAGAGUUUGCAAUAGUUGGGACAGCGUUAGCAGACGACGGUGCAUGGAGCGUUCCUACUUGGAUUCCCGUAGCAGCUCUGUUAGCUCUUUAGGUUGCUGCAUUGGCGCUUUGCGCAUCAAAUAAAAGUGAAAAAAAGAAGAA